UGCCUAAUACAUGCAAGUCGAGCGAACAGACGAGGAGCUUGCUCCUCUGACGUUAGCGGCGGACGGGUGAGUAACACGUGGAUAACCUACCUAUAAGACUGGGAUAACUUCGGGAAACCGGAGCUAAUACCGGAUAACAUGUUGAACCGCAUGGUUCAACAGUGAAAGACGGUCUUGCUGUCACUUAUAGAUGGAUCCGCGCCGCAUUAGCUAGUUGGUAAGGUAACGGCUUACCAAGGCAACGAUGCGUAGCCGACCUGAGAGGGUGAUCGGCCACACUGGAACUGAGACACGGUCCAGACUCCUACGGGAGGCAGCAGUAGGGAAUCUUCCGCAAUGGGCGAAAGCCUGACGGAGCAACGCCGCGUGAGUGAAGAAGGUCUUCGGAUCGUAAAACUCUGUUAUUAGGGAAGAACAAAUGUGUAAGUAACUAUGCACGUCUUGAC
rnacentral:rRNA from 1 species